rnacentral:rRNA from 1 species
UGCGUAGGCGGUGCGGUAAGUCUUCUGUGAAACCUCCGGGCUUAACUCGGAGCCUGCAGGGGAAACUGCCGUGCUGGAGUAUGGGAGAGGUGAGUGGAAUUCCCGGUGUAGCGGUGAAAUGCGUAGAUAUCGGGGGGAACACCUGUGGCGAAAGCGGCUCACUGGACCAUUACUGACGCUGAAGCACGAAAGCUAGGGGAGCAAACAGGAUUAGAUACCCUGGUAGUCCUAGCCCUAAACGAUGAUCGCUUGGUGUGACAGGUACCCAAUCCUGUCGUGCCGGAGCUAACGCGUUAAGCGAUCCGCCUGGGGAGUACGGUCGCAAGGCUGAA